UACGUAGGCAGCGAGCGUUGUUCGGAAUUACUGGGCGUAAAGAGUGUGUAGGCGGUGCUUUAAGUUCGGUGUGAAAUCUCCUGGCUUAACUGGGAGGGUGCGCCGAAAACUGGAGUGCUCGAGCGUGGGAGAGGAAAGCGGAAUUCCUGGUGUAGCGGUGAAAUGCGUAGAUAUCAGGAGGAACACCUGCGGUGUAGACGGCUUUCUGGACCAUUGCUGACGCUGAGACACGAAAGCGUGGGUAGCAAACAGG
rnacentral:rRNA from 1 species